GAAAUGCGAUAAGUAAUGUGAAUUGCAGAAUUCAGUGAAUCAUCGAAUCUUUGAACGCACCUUGCGCUCCUUGGUAUUCCUUGGAGCAUGUCUGUUUGAGUAUCAUGAAAUCUUCAAAGUAAAUCUUUUGUUAACUCAAUUGGUUUCUACUUUGGUAUUGGAGGUCUUUGCAGCUUCACACCUGCUCCUCUUUGUUCAUUAGCUGGAUCUCAGUGUUAUGCUUGGUUCCACUCGGCGUGAUAAGUUAUCUAUCGCUGAGGACACUGUAAAAGGUGGCCAAGGUAAAUGCUGAUGAACCGCUUCUAAUAGUCCAUUGACUUGGACAAUACUUUUAUGAUCUGAUCUCAAAUCAGGUAGGACUACCCGCUGAACUUAAGC
rnacentral:misc_RNA from 1 species